UGGGGAAUAUUGGACAAUGGGCGAAAGCCUGAUCCAGCCAUGCCGCGUGUGUGAAGAAGGUCUUCGGAUUGUAAAGCACUUUAAGUUGGGAGGAAGGGCAGUAAGCGAAUACCUUGCUGUUUUGACGUUACCGACAGAAUAAGCACCGGCUAACUCUGUGCCAGCAGCCGCGGUAAUACAGAGGGUGCAAGCGUUAAUCGGAAUUACUGGGCGUAAAGCGCGCGUAGGUGGUUCGUUAAGUUGAAUGUCAAAGCCCCGGGCUCAACCUGGGAACUGCAUCCAAAACUGGCGAGCUAGAGUAGGGCAGAGGGUGGUGGAAUUUCCUGUGUAGCGGUGAAAUGCGUAGAUAUAGGAAGGAACACCAGUGGCGAAGGCGACCACCUGGGCUCAUACUGACACUGAGGUGCGAAAGCGUGGGGAGCAAACAGG
rnacentral:rRNA from 1 species